rnacentral:tRNA from 1 species
GUUUCUAUGGUGUAAUGGUUAGCACUCUGGACUUUGAAUCCAGCGAUCUGAGUUCAAAUCUCGGUAGGACCU